rnacentral:rRNA from 1 species
UACGUAGGGUGCGAGCGUUAAUCGGAAUUACUGGGCGUAAAGGGUGCGUAGGCGGCGCGGUAAGUCGGGUGUGAAAUCUCGGGGCUUAACUCCGAAACUGCAUUCGAUACUGCCGUGCUUGAGGACUGGAGAGGAGACUGGAAUUUACGGUGUAGCGGUGAAAUGCGUAGAUAUCGUAAGGAAGACCAGUGGCGAAGGCGGGUCUCUGGACAGUUCCUGACACUGAGACACGAAGGCCAGGGGAGCAAACGGG